UGAGAAGCAUUUUUCGGUGUUCAUGUCCUACAGAUUUGAUCCCAUCUACAUUCUGGAAUACAUCUGCCAACAGCUGCAUCAUAAAACAUUUCUCGGAAAGUGUUCCAGUGACAGUGUUUCCCCUGACAAAUCUCAACCAUUAGAGCUACAUCCACAUGCUCCACCAACCUUCCUCGAGAAAGUUUUCCAGUAGAACAGGGGAGCACAAGACAGAGGAAACAAAAGAAUCUCGGACAGUGAGGACACACGCACAGAGCCCUGUGGAAGACAGACUUCAAGGAGCUAUUCCAGGGAAAGUGAAGCAGCAGGCCUAAGGACAAGCCUGUCCCUCUCAGGUAGGAAAGCCUGUGAGGGCGGUCUCUGGGAGAAAACGGAAGCAAGGUUGUGUUCGAAUGUGAAC
rnacentral:lncRNA from 1 species